rnacentral:lncRNA from 1 species
UGGAAAUAAUACUUCAUUUAGCCACAGUCUAUAACAUUCAUACUAUCUCAGAGCAAAGAUUUAACAAGGUAAUUUGUCUUUUCUCUUACCUGUGUUUCCACUGUUCAAAUCCUCCCUGUACUUCAGACGUUAUCUGCCCUAAUGCUGCCAACAGCACACGCACCGCCUUUCAGUGCAUUUGAACUGAGAGGAUACGAGCGAGAGAUACCGAGAAGUACUUUCCUGGGGACUCAAUGAAGAGUCAGAAGAGUGAAUAUUGAGGGCUACAAAUUAUGUUGUGCCAGCCAUGAACACUGGAAGGUCACCAGGCCAUUCUACUCUCUUUGAAUCUACAAUCAGUGCUUUCAUCCAGAUAGAUGAUCCAGUAUUUGGAUAUUAAUCUUUCCAGGGCACUCAGCCAGAAGCAUUCUUACCUAACUCCUCCACACCCUAGUGCCACUUAGCAUCUAAAUUGAGC